GACGAACGCUGGCGGCGUGCUUAACACAUGCAAGUCGAACGAUGAAGCUGGAGCUUGCUCCAGUGGAUUAGUGGCGAACGGGUGAGUAACACGUGAGCAAUCUGCCCUUGACUCUGGGAUAACUGCGGGAAACUGUAGCUAAUACCGGAUACGACACCUUGGGGCAUCCCGAGGUGUGGAAAGAAUUUCGGUCAAGGAUGAGCUCGCGGCCUAUCAGCUUGUUGGUGAGGUAAAAGCUCACCAAGGCGACGACGGGUAGCCGGCCUGAGAGGGUGAUCGGCCACAUUGGAACUGAGACACGGUCCAAACUCCUACGGGAGGCAG
rnacentral:rRNA from 1 species